AUUGAACGCUGGCGGCAGGCUUAACACAUGCAAGUCGAGCGGGGUGAUGGUGCUUGCACUAUCACUUAGCGGCGGACGGGUGAGUAAUGCUUAGGAAUCUGCCUAUUAGUGGGGGACAACAUCUCGAAAGGGAUGCUAAUACUGCAUAAGUCCUACGGGAGAGAGCAGGGGAUCACUUGUGACCUUGCGCUAAUAGAUGAGCCUAAGUCGGAUUAGCUAGUUGGUGGGGUAAAGGCCUACCAAGGCGACGAUCUGUAGCGGGUCUGAGAGGAUGAUCCGCCACACUGGGACUGAGACACGGCCCAGGCUCCUACGGGAGGCAGCAGUGGGGAAUAUUGGACAAUGGGGGGAACCCUGAUCCAGCCAUGCCGCGUGUGUGAAGAAGGCCUUAUGGUUGUACAGCACUUUAAGCGAGGAGGAGGCUCUUUUGGUUAAUACCCAAGAUGAGUGGACGUUACUCGCAGAAUAAGCACCGGCUAACUCUGUGCCAGCCGCCGCCGUAA
rnacentral:rRNA from 1 species